UUUCUAUCCUACUAUAUUAUUUGG
rnacentral:siRNA from 1 species